GAAUUUUCCGCAAUGGGCGAAAGCCUGACGGAGCAAUACCGCGUGAGGGAUGACGGCCUUUGGGUUGUAAACCUCUUUUAUCAAGGAGGAAGUUCUGACGUGUACUUGAUGAAUAAGCAUCGGCUAACUCCGUGCCAGCAGCCGCGGUAAUACGGAGGGUCCAAGCGUUAUCCGGAUUUAUUGGGUUUAAAGGGUGCGUAGGCGGGUCUUUAAGUCCGUGGUGAAAGCCCAUCGCUCAACGAUGGAACUGCCAUGGAUACUGGAGGUCUUGAAUUCAGUUGAGGUAGGCGGAAUUGAUGGUGUAGCGGUGAAAUGCAUAGAUACCAUCAAGAACACCGAUUGCGAAGGCAGCUUACUGGGCUUGAAUUGACGCUGAGGCACGAAAGCGUGGGGAGCGAAC
rnacentral:rRNA from 1 species